UACGGGGGGGGCAAGCGUUGUUCGGAAUUACUGGGCGUAAAGGGUUCGUAGGUGGCCAACUAAGUCAGACGUGAAAUCCCUCAGCUUAACUGGGGAACUGCGUCUGAGACUGGAUGGCUUGAGUGCAGGAGAGGAACGCGGAAUUCCGGGUGUAGCGGUGAAAUGCGCAGAUAUCAGGAGGAACACCGGUGGCGAAGGCGGUUCUCUGGGCAUUACCUGACGCUGAGGAGCGAAAGUGUGGGGAGCGAACAGG
rnacentral:rRNA from 1 species